ACUGCCAGCCAGCACUGUUUGUGAUACAGGGCAUGCCAAAGUGUUUGGUCAUAACAGCAGUAGUGACCUCAAUGGUUAAGUUCUGUGGCACGAUUUUGGCCAUUAUGCUUAGGCAGGUGACCCAAAAUCUGAUUCUAGAGCUCUUCUAGAGAUUCUGGAAGCUAUUCACUAUCACUUUCAAAUUUGACCGAUACACUUAACCUUAAUUUCUCUAUCAGUGAACUAAGGGUAAUACUGUCUACCUUGAAAGUAGCAGAGAGAAUUAAAUGAGAUAAUGUAUGUUUGUCAACCUCUCAGAAGAAAAAGGUCUGAGACCCCUUUGCAAACCCUAUGGAAGCUAUGGUUCUGCCUCCCACAAGGGCUUCUGACACCACCACAGUUCCAUCCUCAGUUACCAUGAGAGCCAUUCAGGAAAACAUACCCUUCUUCAGCCAUGUGGUGCCAAGGUAAUUCUACUCAUGCUAAGAGUUAGCAAAACUAGACACUUCUAGACAAUUAGAGAGUGAAUGACACACUAGCUGCUCAGAAAGAUAUAGCCUGGGACAAAGAGAAGACCUCCACAGAAGAAAGACCAGCAGAGUGUUUGACAACUAGUGAGAAGGCUAAAAACUCAGCGAUAUGCACGCAACUCAGUGUCUUCAAAGCUCAUUUAAAAGGUUUGGAAGCGUUAAAAGGAAUGUUCUUAUACUCAAUUGAGCUCUGGUAGAAAUCCAAAGUUUUAAGUUAAGGAGUGACUGAUAAUGAAGAUCAGUGCGAUUUUUGUUCAUACUUCUCAAAACUUCCCUCUGUUUGCACCUCUUAUUUAAUACCAUUUAAUUUGGUUAGUUUGUAUGCUACUAUUUGGCCAACGUUUAUGCUUAGCUUUUCCAGUAAAGCACUGUAUUAUUUUCAGCAAGUCCAGAUGAAUGGAAAAGUAUGUCUCUUUCAGUCAGUGACUCCAUGAACUAAGCUCAGGAAACCUGUAAUAAAAGCAACAGCUGACAGUGGAUCUAAAUCGCUGGCUAAGUCCCUAGAAGCACACAGUCUCUCCAAGGACUAUGGCCCACCUCUUCCAGUGUGAUGCCAAGAACUGGGUCUUUGGAAUAUGACAGACUUGAGUGUAAAUCUCUGCAGAAACUGAACAGGUUGUCUACACCACAACACUGUCAUACCUAAGCAUUCUUAACCUACAAAAUAAGGAUGACUGAAUACCUCCUUCAUAGGAUUCUUCUGAAGAUUAAAAAAGAAACUGCACAGACAGCAACUAGUGUAGCACUUGUCACAUGGUAAAGCAGGCAUUCAGCGAAUGAUAGGUAUUAUGCACUAUGCUUCUAAAAUUCUAGGCUUUGAGUUCAUUGUGAUUUUUUUUUUUCUACUAGCUUGUAAAACUCCUCAAGGGCAAAACUAGUGCCACAUCCAACUGCUUCUUACUUUUUCAUAAUUUCAACUCCCUGGACAGUCAAGAAAUGGGGAAAAUCACACAAAUUGGCCCACAGGUCCCCCAAAUAGUUAUUAUAAAUUUCAUGCGCUAAUGCCUAUGUAUUUUAGUAACAAGAAACCCCCAAAGGCUUACUGACUUUUAUUUUGUUUCCAAGGUGACAGGAGCAAAUUAGGAGGUGACUGCUACUUUCCAUCAGAAAAGGAAACAACAGGAAAAAAAUCAUAGAAAGUAAACAUACGCACAUGAUCUAUACGAAAUAGUAAACAAAAUAAAGUCUAGCAACCAAAGCUUCUGUUCUAAUUGAGAUAUUAGCAAGUAUUGAGUUAGAGACAAUGUUAAAAAAUACAGAGAGAAACGUACAAAGUUAAAAUGAUGGUGGUCAAAGUCCACUGACCAUAAUUGUUAAAAUUAGAAAGAAUCUUUGCACAAUUACCGCAAUUAUCUGUUGAGCCCUCAAUACGUACAAAAUAUAUGCUACACAUAAGCCAUGCUGCUCACAUAAACUAAUCCUCCCCCAUUAACUCCCUGAGGUAGGUAUUAGUAUCCUUAUUUUACAGAUUAAGAAAUCAGGGCUCAGAGGGGUGAAGCGACUCGCUCAAGAUCACAGGGCCAAUGUGUGACAUUUUCCAUCCCUGAACUAACUCCAAGUCUAUGCUCUUUUCCCAUAAUGCCACACUGCUCCUCCACACUCUUAUGAGUUGCAAGAAUUGAUUCUAAGUUAUAAAAGGGAUCCUUCUGCUUAAACAUAUAUAGUAACGGAGAGUUCAUUAUUCUGCCAGAUAGCACAGGGUUUAUGAGCACAGACUUUUAAAUUUUCUUUAUUUUAGAGAGAGAAUGCACAAGCGGGGGGAGAGGAACAG